GUCGACGUACUUCAUAGGAUCAUUUCUAUAGGAAUCGUCACUCUUUGACUCUUCAAACGAGCCACUGAAUCCAACUUGGAUGAUGAGUGAUAAUUACCUUUGUGCCCCAAAGUGAGAUUGUGUUUUUGACUAAGGUCAAAGCAUAGAUAUUAGAGGUUCCUUCGGGAAGUUUGGUAGUGUUUUGCAAUCCUUAGUGGUUCGAAUGACCAUCUUAUAUUCUCUUUUAUCGCUCCCUAAAGUGUAAAGCAUAGGCUUCGGUUUAUGUUUUUAUCUUUAACAACAGCUAUGGAUGUUCAUUUGAUAAUGUGGCAGUUUCGGAUUGUCAUUUAUCAUUCUUUUUAAAGUAUCCACUCUUCAGUGGAACUUUUAAAAGCUCUGUCUUCUAUGUUUUUUUCUGCUGGUAUUUUUUGUCUACUUCCUUGUGUUGUAGUCUAAAAUAAACUGGCGCGAUGAUCUUUAUCCUUUCCAUGUACUUCUGGUAUUUUACUUAGAAGAUGAUGGUGUUAUAAGGAUGGGUGCAAAUGGCAGUCUGACAAGU
rnacentral:snoRNA from 1 species